rfam:Oryza barthii chromosome 9, whole genome shotgun sequence.
AGGUGCUGCAUGGCUGUCGUCAGCUCGUGUCGUGAGAUGUUUGGUCAAGUCCUAUAACGAGCGAAGCGACUUGGACCGAACCGGGGAUUUUAUGUUCCUACACGGCCC